rnacentral:rRNA from 1 species
AAAACAUCGCCUCCUGCAUAACAUAGGAGGUCCAGCCUGCCCAGUGACAAAGUUUAACGGCCGCGGUACCCUAACCGUGCGAAGGUAGCGCAAUCACUUGUUCUUUAAAUGGGGACUAGUAUGAAAGGCAUCACGAGGGUCUCACUGUCUCCCUCUUUCAAUCAGUGAAACUGAUCUCCCCGUGAAGAAGCGGGGAUAAAACUAUAAGACGAGAAGACCCCAUGGAGCUUUAAACUCAAUAUUAACUGCCAAAGUACACACCAAGUCAAACAGGCAGAACUAACUAUUAGUUUUCGGUUGGGGUGACCACGGAGCAAAAUAAAACCUCCAUGAUGAAUGACUUACUCUAAUCUAAGAGCCACAGCUCAAAGAAUCAAUAAAUUGACAUAAUUUGAUCCAAAUAUUUUGAUCAACGAACCAAGUUACCCUGGGGAUAACAGCGCAAUCCAUUUCAAGAGCUCCUAUCGACAAAUGGGUUUACGACCUCGAUGUUGGAUCAGGGUAUCCUAGUGGUGCAGCCGCUACUAAAGGUUCGUUUGUUCAACGAUUAAAACCCUACGUGAUCUGAG